AGAGACAGCAGCAGCCCGGUAAUACAGAGGGUGCGAGCGUUAAUCGGAUUUACUGGGCGUAAAGCGUGCGUAGGCGGCUUUUUAAGUCGGAUGUGAAAUCCCUGAGCUUAACUUAGGAAUUGCAUUCGAUACUGGGAAGCUAGAGUAUGGGAGAGGAUGGUAGAAUUCCAGGUGUAGCGGUGAAAUGCGUAGAGAUCUGGAGGAAUACCGAUGGCGAAGGCAGCCAUCUGGCCUAAUACUGACGCUGAGGUACGAAAGCAUGGGGAGCAAACAGGAUUAGAUACCCGGGUAGUCCCUGUCUCUUAUACC
rnacentral:rRNA from 1 species